rnacentral:rRNA from 1 species
UACGUAGGGGGCUAGCGUUAUCCGGAAUUACUGGGCGUAAAGGGUGCGUAGGUGGUUUCUUAAGUCAGAGGUGAAAGGCUACGGCUCAACCGUAGUAAGCCUUUGAAACUGGGAAACUUGAGUGCAGGAGAGGAGAGUGGAAUUCCUAGUGUAGCGGUGAAAUGCGUAGAUAUUAGGAGGAACACCAGUUGCGAAGGCGGCUCUCUGGACUGUAACUGACACUGGAGGCACGAAAAGCGUGGGGAGCAAACAGG